rnacentral:rRNA from 1 species
GUUCGCCUACGGGGGGCAGCAGUAGGGAAUCUUCGUCAAUGGGCGCAAGCCUGAACGAGCAAUGCCGCGUGAACGAGGAAGGUCUUCGGAUCGUAAAGUUCUGUUGAAGGGGAAAAAGAGCGGAGAGAGGAAAUGGUCUCCGAUUGAUAUUACCCUUCGAGGAAGUCACGGCUAACUACGUGCCAGCAGCCGCGGUAAUACGUAGGUGGCAAGCGUUAUCCGGAUUUACUGGGUGUAAAGGGAGCGUAGACGGCUGUGCAAGUCUGAAGUGAAAUGCCGGGGCCCAACCCCGGAACUGCUUUGGG